rnacentral:rRNA from 1 species
UACGGGGGGGGCAAGCGUUGUUCGGAAUUACUGGGCGUAAAGGGUUCGUAGGUGGCCAACUAAGUCAGACGUGAAAUCCCUCAGCUUAACCGGGGAACUGCGUCUGAUACUGGAUGGCUUGAGUUCGGGAGAGGGAUGCGGAAUUCCAGGUGUAGCGGUGAAAUGCGUAGAUAUCUGGAGGAACACCGGUGGCGAAGGCGGCAUCCUGGACCGAUACUGACGCUGAGGAGCGAAAGCCAGGGGAGCAAACGGG